UACGUAGGGAGCAAGCGUUGUCCGGAAUCAUUGGGCGUAAAGCGCGCGUAGGUGGCCUCGUAAGUCCGCUGUGAAAGUCAAAGGCUCAACCUUUGAAAGCCGGUGGAUACUGUGAGGCUAGAGUACGGAAGAGGCGAGUGGAAUUCCUGGUGUAGCGGUGGAAUGCGCAGAUAUCAGGAGGAACACCAAUAGCGAAGGCGGCUCGCUGGGACGUAACUGACACUGAGGCGCGAAAGCGUGGGGAGCGAACAGG
rnacentral:rRNA from 1 species